rnacentral:rRNA from 1 species
CUACGGGUCGCAGCAGUGAGGAAUAUUGCACAAUGGGGGGAACCCUGAUGCAGCAACGCCGCGUGGAGGAUGACGCAUUUCGGUGUGUAAACUCCUUUUAUAUGUCAAGAAAAUGACGGUAGCAUAUGAAUAAGCACCGGCUAACUCCGUGCCAGCAGCCGCGGUAAUACGGAGGGUGCAAGCGUUACUCGGAAUCACUGGGCGUAAAGAACGCGUAGGCGGGCUUGUAAGUCAGGUGUGAAAUCCUACAGCUUAACUGUAGAACUGCACUUGAAACUACGAGCCUAGAGUAUGGGAGGGGGAGAUGGAAUUAGUGGUGUAGGGGUAAAAUCCGUAGAUAUCACUAGGAAUACCUAAAGCGAAGGCGAUCUCCUGGAACAUAACUGACGCUAAGGCGUGAAAGCGUGGGGAGCAAACAGGAUUAGAUACCCUAGUAGUC